rnacentral:rRNA from 1 species
UACGUAGGGGGCAAGCGUUGUCCGGAAUCAUUGGGCGUAAAGAGCGUGUAGGCGGCCUGAUAAGUCCGCUGUGAAAGUCCAGGGCUCAACCCUGGGAUGCCGGUGGAUACUGUCGGGCUCGAGUCCGGAAGAGGAGUGUGGAAUUCCUGGUGUAGCGGUGAAAUGCGCAGAUAUCAGGAGGAACACCAAUGGCGAAGGCAGCACUCUGGGCCGUAACUGACGCUGAGGAGCGAAAGCGUGGGGAGCGAACAGG